AUUGAACGCUGGCGGCAGGCCUAACACAUGCAAGUCGAGCGGAUGAAGGGAGCUUGCUCCUGGAUUCAGCGGCGGACGGGUGAGUAAUGCCUAGGAAUCUGCCUGGUAGUGGGGGAUAACGUCCGGAAACGGGCGCUAAUACCGCCUACGUCCUGAUGGAGAAAGUGGGGGAUCUUCGGACCUCACGCUCUCAGAUGAGCCUAGGUCGGAUUAGCUAGUUGGUGGGGUAAAGGCCUACCAAGGCGACCAUCCGUAACUGGUCUGCGAGGAUGAUCAGUCACACUGGAACGGAGACACGGUCCAGACGCCUACGGGAGGCAGCAGUGUGGAAUAUUGGACAAUGGGCGAAAGCCUGAUCCAGCCAUGCCGCGUGUGUUAAGAAGGUCUUCGGAUUGUAAAGCACUUUAAGUGGGGAGGAAGGGCAGUAAGUUAAUACCUUGCUGUUUUGACGUUACCAACAGAAUAAGCACCGGCUAACUUCGUG
rnacentral:rRNA from 1 species